UACGGAGGGUGCGAGCGUUGUCCGGAAUUACUGGGCGUAAAGCGCACGUAGGCGGUCUUUUAAGUCGGGGGUGAAAUCCUGGAGCUCAACUCCAGAACUGCCUUCGAUACUGGAAGACUUGAGUCCGGGAGAGGUGAGUGGAACUGCGAGUGUAGAGGUGAAAUUCGUAGAUAUUCGCAAGAACACCAGUGGCGAAGGCGGCUCACUGGCCCGGUACUGACGCUGAGGUGCGAAAGCGUGGGGAGCAAACAGG
rnacentral:rRNA from 1 species